UACGGAGGAUCCGAGCGUUAUCCGGAUUUAUUGGGUUUAAAGGGUGCGUAGGUGGAUUGGUAAGUCAGUGGUGAAAGUUUGCAGCUUAACUGUAAAAUUGCCGUUGAAACUGCCGGUCUCGAGUGCAAAUGAGGUAGGCGGAAUGCGUCGUGUAGCGGUGAAAUGCUUAGAUAUGACGCAGAACUCCGAUUGCGAAGGCAGCUUACUGGGAUGCAACUGACGCUGAGGCACGAAAGCGUGGGGAGCAAACAGGAUUAGAUA
rnacentral:rRNA from 1 species